AAUCAACGCUGGCGGCGUGCCUCAGACAUGCAAGUCGAACGAUUAAAGCUCUCUUCGGAGAGUGCAUAAAGUGGCGCACGGGUGAGUAACACGUAAGUAAUCUACCUUCGAGUGGGGAAUAACGUCCGGAAACGGACGCUAAUACCGCAUAAUGCAGCGGCAUCGCAAGAUGACAGUUGUUAAAGAUUUAUCGCUUGAAGAGGAGCUUGCGGCAGAUUAGCUAGUUGGUAAGGUAAUGGCUUACCAAGGCUACGAUCUGUAACCGGUCUAAGAGGACGGUCGGUCACACUGACACUGAAUAACGGGUCAGACUCCUACGGGAGGCAGCAGUCGGGAAUUUUGGGCAAUGGGCGAAGCCUGACCCAGCAACGCCGCGUGAAGGAUGAAGUAUUUCGGUAUGUAAACUUCGAAAGAAUGGGAAGAAUAAAUGACGGUACCAUUUAUAAGGUCCGGCUAACUACGUGCCAGCAG
rnacentral:rRNA from 1 species